GCAUGUUUUCUGCCCUCUCCCAGGGGUGUCCUGAUAAACAGUUAACAUUAAGCUUUGGGCAAGGUUAGGGGAUGGGGAGGCAUCUUUGUAGUGUUUACCAAUUUCCAUAUUAUAAAUACUCCCACCAUGGCUGAUUUUAGGUUAUCAACAUGAGUUCACUGAAUGCAGAGCUGGGAAGAGAUUAUCAGAAUCAGCUCUCUCAAACCAAUAUGAACCUGCUCCAGCACACCCAAGAGAGAAUUUCUUUUCUUUUUUGCUGCCUCUUUGUUCACUGCUGAAACCAAGAUCUGCUCCCUCUCAGGCAGAGGACCAGGAAUACCUCUCUGAUGUGGCUCCUGCAGAAGUAAGAGUUUUUUUAUGCCUAGAAGAUAGAGGAGGUCUUCAGAUGAGAAGCCCAAAGCAGUGCUCAGGCACAGCUUACCAAGGAACUCAUAACAAAUGAGAGUUUCCCCAUUUUUUCAUCAUGAGAUGUCAUUACAUCAGCAGCGUGUGAGAAUAACUGCCUCUCCAACAGAGUGCAUCAUUGAAGUUUUGGGCUUUUGACAAUCUAAUAUAUAAGAAGUGGUAUAUUGAUUUUUUUUUGGUAAGCUAUUCUGAAAAAUGUUUUAAGUAUAAAAUUUCAUUAAUAUGAAACAUAGUAUUUCCUCCAAGUAAUUUAAAUAUCUCUUAUGAAUAAGGUUGAGUAUCUUUUCACAUGUUUAAAGACCAUUGGCUUUUCUUUAUCUGUGAACUGACUGCUCACAUCUGUUCCCAUUUUUCUAGAAAUUGUUCCUCUUGUUCCUCUCAAUUUUUAGGAGCUUUUUAAAUUUUAGAAUAUUAACUCCUCAAGAAUUCAUGGCAACAUUGUGUUUAGUUUGUCAGCUGUCUAAAUUGCUUUGGAAUACUUUGUCAGGGUUCCAGAGUUGAUGGGACUCAAACGAAGCCACUCACUAACCGACCAGAAUGUCGAUUUAUUAAUUUACAACAUGUAAUAUUCCCUUCCACUAUCAUUAAUACCCCAUUUCUGCUGUCCUAGUUACCUUCUUCCUGGUAUCAGAAUUCCUGAGAAACCAAUGAUGGGUGAAGAGGUUAUUAAGUGACGGUAUCAAAAGCUACUUCAACUGUAUAGACCUCUAUGCGCCUGCCUUCCCUUUUCUAAGGAUGAAUCGUCCAUGCUCUUACUGAAGGUCAACUCCACCAUCCAUAUUUUAGUUCCCACCCUCCCCCAGCUUGCUCAAGGAUAUGGUUCUAACAAUUCUUCUUUCUCUUGAAUAAUGAAUUUUUCCUUCACUAUUGGAUCCCUCCCUAUCAGCAUUCAAACAAACAGUAAUAGCUCCCAUCUUUAAAACAAAAAUUCUAGACCCCACGAUGUUUUGGACUCCACACAUCUCCAUCCAACUACCACUCCACUUCUCUGCUCUCUUGUACAGUUUAAAAAAAUAAAAAGAGUUGUCUAUUCCUAUUGUGUCGACUUCCUCUCUUCCCAUCUCCUGUUGUACCCACUCUAGUUAGGCUUUUUGUCCCUACCGUCACAUCAUUCAUCAGGUUCGCCAAUGACAUCCAUGUUCCUAAAUCCAGUGGCCAUUCUCAGUCCUCACUUUAUCCAUCCUCUCAGUAGCAUAUGACACAAUUGUUCACUCCCUCCUUCUUGAAAGUCUUUCUUCAUUUGGUUUUUGACAUGAUAUUCUCUCUUGCUUCUCUCCCUACCUCGCUGGCCUCCUUUUUAAAAAAAAUCCCCAAUGUCUCUUUUUCCUAAUCAUUGUAGUUGUACUUAGAGUCUAAAUUGGUGAGGAAAAGGUAUUUAGAAGUACACUGGGACACUUGCAUUUUAAGUAAGAGAGCUUGAGGUUGGGGAGUGACAGCCUGCUUUAUCUUCCACAGAAGAGGAGAUUAAGGUACAGUUCUUCCAAAUUGAAAGUUUUUGGUAAAUCACAUUUUUUUAUUCCUGAGGACCUUAUUUAUAGAGCAAUUGCUAUUGGCUUCUUUUUCUUCCUUUCAAUUAAAAAAAAAUUGUUCUGCUUUAUCUUCUGUUAUUCUUAUUUUUCUGUACCUCUAUCAAAUUCCUUUAUUCCACCUCAUCUUCUUUUCCCUUCCUAAUGCCAGAUCUCUAUAUUUUCCAAGUCUCCAACCUAGCUUAAGUGUCUUAGCAAUUGAAAGUACUAAAUAUCCUUUUCUUUGGGCCAUUUAGAGACACCCUAUGAAGGACACUCCUGGAAAAUAUUCGAUGGUGCUGCUAACAGCAGAGCUGCAAGAUGACUAAUGUCAGUAUGUUGGAAGUAGAAGGUUCUCAGUGUUACUUUUCUCAUUAAUAUUUGGUUGUUGAAUAUAGGUAAUUUACCUUAUAAUUCUGGAAACUCAGAUUAAAUGAGUGCAAUUAAUGCCAGGUAAAUUUAAUAUCAACUUAUGAGGUAAGAGGAGAGAAGGGAACAAAUGAAAAUUGGGAAUUUAUUCUUAAAUGUAGCACUCUAGGGAGUCUGUCUGCAUAGUGGCUAAGAACAUAGACCCGAGAGCCUGACUUGUCUGGGUUUGUAUCCAACUUCAUCCCUUACGGACAAUGUGACUUUGGGCAUGUUUCUUAUCUUUUCUUUGCCUCAGCUUCCUCAUCUGUAAAGUGGAGGACAGUCUAACCUCAUGGAGUUGUUACAAGGAUUAAAUUAGUUUCGAAAAAGUACUUCAAACAGUGCCUGGCAAUAGUAAAUACCACAUAAAUAUCAGUUACUAUUACUCAAAAUUAUAAUGAUGAAUAGAUCAAGGCCCAGAAA
rnacentral:lncRNA from 1 species